ensembl:lncRNA uncharacterized LOC109093421
ACUCUCAGUAGAAGCAGAUAGCUCUAGUGUUUAGGCUCUAGUUAUCCUGGUGCAAUGAAGCAAAAAUCAACCCUACAUUUGACUGAAAUUUUACUUCUUUUCAUCUUUAUACAAGGAGUCUUGACAUAUGAGGUCAAACGCGCAAAGCGUUCUGGAGGUUGGGUAUAUCAUGAUGGGAAAUGGAAGUAUGAGUCACGGGUGGAAAAGGAUCUGUCAGGAUCUGGAUUUGGAUCCGGUGAUGGCACAGAGAAUCCUUUCAACUCAAGAGAUGAAAUACUGAAGCAGAAUGAGCCAAGACGAUUCGUGGAAUAGCCAGGAUGACUAGAAGAACUUGUGGACCAAUUUUCUCACUUCCUGGCUCUAUUAAACAUUUUUGUUUUUAUCUUGGAAUCAUUGUUGGCCGUACUAUUAAAUUUCACAGCAUUAAGAAAUGAUUUCAAAUGUUAGAUGCAAACAAAAAAACUAUCCAAU